rnacentral:rRNA from 1 species
CCUACGGGGGGCAGCAGUGAGGAAUAUUGGUCAAUGGCCGGAAGGCUGAACCAGCCAUGCCGCGUGAAGGUCAGUGCCCUAUGGGCGUUAAACUUCUUUUGUGCGGGAGCAAUAAUGGUCACGUGUGGCCAGACGAGAGUACCGUACGAAUAAGCAUCGGCUAACUCCGUGCCAGCAGCCGCGGUAAUACGGGGAAGGCAAGCGUUAUCCGGAUUUAUUGGGGUUAAAGGGUGCGUAGGCUGUGAGUUAAGUCAGCGGUGAAAUGCCCCCGCUCAACGGGGUGAAGUGCCAUUGAUACUGCCUUGCUGGAAUGCGGAUGCCGUGGGAGGAAUGUGUGGUGUAGCGGUGAAAUGCAUAGAUAUCACACAGAACACCGAUUGCGAAGGCAUCUCACGAAUCCGCGAUUGACGCUGAUGCACGAAAGCGUGGGUAUCAAACAGGAUUAGAUACCCGAGUAGUC